GGGGGGGGGCAGGGCUGGUCACCAGGACUUGCGGUAGAGAGGACAUGGGGCCUGAGGCCGGGGCACCCACACCCGGGAGCCGGCGUCCCGAAUCGAACCGUGGGCUCCACCUGUCUCGGAUCUCAGGUUCGGGGUGUCCCCCUCGGCCGCCUCGCUCUCCACGUGCUCUUGGGGCCCAACGACUCGUCCUUCCCCAGAUGUCUUCUUUGGGGCUGGAUGUGUCUUCACACGCUGCCAACCUGCAAGUCCAAACUCGACCGUGACUUCGCCGUGGGCCCAAGUGUCAGCGGUCGAUCUGUUGUCAGUUGAUGGCGGGCUCGUUUCUCAGAAGCCAGGCACGCGCGCGCACGUGCCGGAGCCCCAUUCUCUGGUGUGGAUCGUCUCUGCGUCGGUUCUGGAAAAAUGCUUUCAGGAGCACUGUUUCCAUUCCCAGUGAGUCGUGACCGUGCCUGUGUCUCAGUCCUCGUGCCUUUUCCCGAGCGAUGCCUCGCCUUCCGAAGACGCGCAGGUUGUAACAGAAUGAGGGUGGGAUUCCAGAAACGUCCGGACCUGAGCAACCCCCACCCCCACCGAGUUUCCCCGAGCCCCAGAGACAGCCAGCCCCCCUCCGCCCGCCCUGCCCGGGACAGCGCUGCCAGUCUGGGCGUCCCGUGGCCACCGUGUCAUGUGUCCCGGGAGUGGAGAGGGGUGGCCAGCAGGCUGAGUCUGCGGACCUUCGCCCUCCUGCAGGGAACAACUCUGGUGACUGAAAAGUCACCCCGUGUACCCACCGUGCUUGUGGGCGUUGAAACCCCCAGGCCCUCUGCCAGGGUCAGCGUGUUGGGGACUUUGGGCCGGUUUUGUACACGGUGAACAUCAGCCCGGGGGCCGCUUUGGUUUUGUUUUGUUUUGUGGAAAGAUUUUGGUUUUGAAGUGAUCUCCGCGCCCGGCGUGGGGCUGGCACUCCCCACCCAGAGAUCCGGGGUCCCAAGCUUCACGGAGCCAGCCAGGCGCCCCGCGGGGCCGCUUUGCUUUUGUAAGUGAACCUUCCAAGGAGGAGAAAGACACUGCUCAAAUCUGACUCUUUCUUAAGCGGUGGAUCCACUGACCUUGACACUUGAGAAGCUUGGAGGCGGAUGUCCCCUCAUGGCCAGCUGCAGGUUAGGCACUGUUGGCUGAAGAGCCACAGAAGCGACAGCGCCUGCCUCCUCCAGCUGCCUGGCCCCUCCCGUGUCCCGUGGCUGCCAUGUGAGGACAGAGCAAGAAGGAUCCGUCUAUGAACCAGGAAUCAGGUUCACACCAGACACCCGAUAUGCUGGCGCCGUGAUCGUGGACUUCCCAGCCUCCAGAACCACGAGAAAUAAAUUCUUGAUGUUUGUAA